rnacentral:rRNA from 1 species
CCUACGGGAGGCAGCAGUAGGGAAUAUUGCUCAAUGGGGGAAAGCCUGAAGCAGCAACGCCGCGUGGAGGAUGAAGGUCUUCGGAUUGUAAACCCCUUUUGUUAGAGAAGAUAAUGACGGUAUCUAACCAAUAAUCACUGGCUAAUACCUUGCCAGCAGCCGCGGGAAUACGGAGGGUGCGAGCGUUACUCGGAAUCACUGGGCGUAAAGAGCGUGUAGGCGGGAUAGCAAGUCAGAUGUGAAAUCCUAUGGCUUAACCAUAGAACUGCAUUUGAAACUGUUAUUCUAGAGUAUGUGAGAGGUAGGUGGAAUUCGUGGUGUAGGGGUAAAAUCCGUAGAGAUCAAGAGGAAUACUCAUUGCGAAGGCGACCUGCUAGAACAUAACUGACGCUGAGGAGCGAAAGCGUGGGGAGCAAACAGGAUUAGAUACCCUUGUAGUC